AAAAGCUACUGCUUUGAACUCAUAUUGCCAGUGUUGAUCGAAGGCCUUGAUAGAACAAGUCGUUUCGAAUUUUGAAGCGUUGUAAACCAGUCACGAUGGCGAACGGCGUUCGUAUUUUCCUCGUUUUCCUGAUAUUGAUGGCCGUAAGCUUUUCCUCAGCCUAUCCUGGUUGGGGAAGUAGUAAUGAAGCUGAAGCAUAUAAACCUGCAGGUUCAUCCGAAGGGGAUUGCCAGAAAAACAGCAAAUAUUGCGGAAGACAGAGAGUACUGGGUAAAGUUACCCAUCGAAGAAGAUGUUGCUCAGGAAACUGUGUUCACAGUCGCACAAAUAAUGGGAUCAAGAUAUUUGUAUGCAGGCCUAGUAAGUAAAAUAUUUUGAGGGCCAAAUAUCGACUCAGAGAAAAAUGUAAAUAUAUGAACUGUAAUUCCCUUAGAAAGCAUCGCUAUAAUUAAAAAAAAUAAUGCAGAACCUAUAUAUACAAUUGUUUGUGUAUUGGCGAACAUCAGAUUUUAUCGUUUGAAAUACAAUUCUAAAAAGAGUUCACCUGUGUGUACGCACGACAAUUUUUCUAUGACAAAA